rfam:Salmonella enterica subsp. enterica serovar Typhimurium str. LT2, complete genome.
CCAGCUAAAUUAUCAUGUUAUGUUACUGCUGCUACAGUGAAUCCCCCUGUGCGGUGGGGUGUAAUUGGUUAUCAAUGGAAACAGCUGUUUGUUUGCCACACGAGUCACGGUAUAGCCAGCCAAAGAUUCACCGGGAGGCACCCGGCACUGCAGCAUACUGAUAACAAAUAUAGCGUGUCCCAAAGGCUCACUUCGGUGAGCCUUUUUUACAGGC